UACGUAGGGUGCGAGCGUUACUCGGAAUUACUGGGCGUAAAGCGUGCGCAGGCGGUUUUGUAAGCCAGAUGUGAAAUCCCCGGGCUUAACCUGGGAAUGGCAUUUGGGACUGCAAGGCUGGAGUGCGGCAGAGGAGACUGGAAUUCCUGGUGUAGCAGUGAAAUGCGUAGAUAUCAGGAGGAAUACCGAUGGCGAAGGCAGGUCUCUGGGCCGACACUGACGCUCAUGCACGAAAGCGUGGGGAGCAAACAGG
rnacentral:rRNA from 1 species